rnacentral:ncRNA from 2 species
CUUACCGGAGGCUUCAUGGAUCCCGAUCCCACUCCCCAUCAUCGAUGGAGCAUAACUUUUUCCCGGUAAGCCAGUCUUUAUCACUGCCUUACCGGUUUUGCGUGAGGCAGUGACGUCGU